rnacentral:rRNA from 1 species
GAUGAACGCUAGCGGCAGGCCUAACACAUGCAAGUCGAGGGGCAGCACAGAAACAGCAAUGUUUUGGUGGCGACCGGCGGACGGGUGCGUAACGCGUAUGCAACCUACCUUUAACAGGGGGAUAACGGAGAGAAAUUUCCACUAAUACCCCAUAACAUCGAUCAAGGCAUCUUGAUUGGUUGAAAACUCCGGUGGUUAAAGAUGGGCAUGCGUUGUAUUAGGUAGUUGGUGAGGUAAUGGCUCACCAAGCCUACGAUACAUAGGGGAACUGCGAGGUUAGCCCCCCACACUGGUACUGAGACACGGACCAGACUCCUACGGGAGGCAGAAGUGAGGAAUAUUGGUCAAUGGGGCAACCCUGAACCAGCCAUGCCGCGUGCAGGAAGACGGCUCUAUGAGUUGUAAACUGCUUUUAAACAGGGAUAAAGCACAGUAUGUAUACUGUGUUGAAGGUACUGUAAGAAUAAGGAUCGGCUAACUCCGUGCCAGCAGCCGCGGUAA